rnacentral:lncRNA from 1 species
GGAGUUCAGGGGAGUUCAGGGUGGGGUCAGGAAGAGGAUAACGGCCCUCUGCUCUCCCAGUCUGAAACACAGUCCUAUAAUAAUCUGAAUGUUCUUCCAUGGUUGUUCCAAUCUCUUUGAAUGACCUAUCCUAAUACUAAGAAAAUAAACUCAAAACAACAUCCCUUAAAACAGACAAUCAAAUCUAAGCUUUCAUUUCUUAAACUACCACUGUGAUCUUUGUCUUGGCAAAUUUCCAUCUUUUACCCUUUUGGAUAAUGAUUUGGCUGGGGGCGUAAUGUCUUCAGGCCCUGAUCUCUCAUGCCAAAGCAUUUCUUGAGGUCAUUCUGAAGAUGAGUGAUCACCCCAUUUCCCAAGCAGGACACUAAAAGCACAGAGUAGAAAUGGUAUCUAGGUGACUGUGGGUAACCUUGAGUAGACUGGGACAUAAGGGACAAAAGACACAAAAGCAAACAGGCAACACGAGAGCUCAAAUCUCUCAGCAGCUGUAAAAUGAACUAAGGAGGAAAAACAAUCAAUGGCUUGGAACUGGGAGAGAAUCGGGGGAAAGAGCCAGAAUGAUAAGGUACUUGAAAACAUAUGCCCUUCUACAAUAAGGAAAUCUAUGAGCUGGGGGAUGGAAAGAAUGCCUGUGUGGCUCCCAGAUGGCUGAGCCAGGCGGAGGCUGGAAGAACAGGAGUUAAUAGAGCUCAUCUGAAAGUUGGAAGUGUGAAUGCCAAGAGGAGGAGGGCAGCCUGGUAGGAAGUAAAACAGUCAGCAGCACUCGUACAGGAAAUGCCUGGGGCACUGGGAAAAUCGCUGAUUAAAUACUUUUAAGAAAGAGGAACCCAGCAGCAAAGCCAAUUCAUCGAGAGAUCUGUGUAGUUUUAGAACACUGGGAGUAGCCUUUAGAAUCG